rnacentral:rRNA from 1 species
AAAGCACUUUCAGCGAGGAGGAAGGGUAGUGUGUUAAUAGCACAUUGCAUUGACGUUACUCGCAGAAGAAGCACCGGCUAACUCCGUGCCAGCAGCCGCGGUAAUACGGAGGGUGCAAGCGUUAAUCGGAAUUACUAGGGCGUAAAGCGCACGCAGGCGGUUUGUUAAGUCAGAUGUGAAAUCCCCGCGCUUAACGUGGGAACUGCAUUUGAAACUGGCAAGCUAGAGUCUUGUAGGAGGGGGUAGAAUUCCAGGUGUAGCGGUGAAAUGCGUAGAGAUCUGGAGGAAUACCGGUGGCGAAGGCGGCCCCCUGGACAAAGACUGACGCUCAGGUGCGAAAGACGUGGGGAGGACAAACCAAGGAUUAGAUACCCUCGGAG